ACUUUUAAAGGAAAAUAGUAACCCACCGGUCUUAGAAACACAAGCUUGGUGCAAAUCCAAGUAAAAGUAAUG
rnacentral:tRNA from 1 species